UCUAACGAAAAAAUAAAAUAAGGUGAAACUCCUACAAUGGCUUUUCGUUUCAAUCACCUUUCUCUUUUCUGUAUUUUAAGCAUGUUAUGGUUUUUCUUCGGAGUAAUGAAAUAAGUUAAAUUUAACUUUUUUAGAUUUGUUAACCAUAUGAAUUAAUUAACUUUCAUUUAUUUGAUUGCAGCAUCUGUGAAUUGUCCAAAUCCUCCGGGACAUACAUGCAUAGAUAGAUGCGAAGAUGCAGGAAGCACUCCAUUUUGCAAUAAAACUUGCAUAGAUAAGGGUUACAAAUCCGGUGGCAAAUGUGUUUAUAACACUCCAAAUGAUGCGUAUUUGUUGUUGUGUCAAUAAUUAAGAAUGGGUUACUGUAAAAUUAUAAUCAUAAAAAA
rnacentral:lncRNA from 1 species